rnacentral:rRNA from 1 species
GACGAACGCUGGCGGCGUGCUUAACACAUGCAAGUCGAACGCUGAAGCUCAGCUUUUGUUGGGUGGAUGAGUGGCGAACGGGUGAGUAACACGUGAGUAACCUGCCCCCUUCUUUGGGAUAACGCCCGGAAACGGGUGCUAAUACUGAAUAUUCACUGGUCUUCGCAUGGGGGUUGGUGGAAAGGGUUUUUCUGGUGGGGGAUGGGCUCGCGGCCUAUCAGCUUGUUGGUGGGGUGAUGGCCUACCAAGGCUUUGACGGGUAGCCGGCCUGAGAGGGUGACCGGUCACAUUGGGACUGAGAUACGGCCCAGACUCCUACGGGAGGCAGCAGUGGGGAAUAUUGCACAAUGGGCGCAAGCCUGAUGCAGCGACGCCGCGUGAGGGAUGGAGGCCUUCGGGUUGUGAACCUCUUUCGCUCAUGGUCAAGCCGCAACAAUGGUUGUGGUGAGGGUAGUGGGUAAAGAAGCGCCGGCUAACUACGUG